AUUGAACGCUGGCGGCAGGCUUAACACAUGCAAGUCGAGCGGGGGAAGGUAGCUUGCUACCGGACCUAGCGGCGGACGGGUGAGUAAUGCUUAGGAAUCUGCCUAUUAGUGGGGGACAACAUCUCGAAAGGGAUGCUAAUACCGCAUACGUCCUACGGGAGAAAGCAGGGGAUCUUCGGACCUUGCGCGAAUAGAUGAGCCUAAGUCGGAUUAGCUAGUUGGUGGGGUAAAGGCCUACCAAGGCGACGAUCUGUAGCGGGUCUGAGAGGAUGAUCCGCCACACUGGGACUGAGACACGGCCCAGACUCCUACGGGAGGCAGCAGUGGGGAAUAUUGGACAAUGGGGGGAACCCUGAUCCAGCCAUGCCGCGUGUGUGAAGAAGGCCUUAUGGUUGUAAAGCACUAUAAGCGAGGAGGAGGCUACUUUAGUUAAUACCUAGAGAUAGUGGACGUUACUCGCAGAAUAAGCACCGGCUAACUCUGUGCCAGCCGCCGCAGUAA
rnacentral:rRNA from 1 species